rnacentral:rRNA from 1 species
AUUGAACGCUGGCGGCAUGCCUAACACAUGCAAGUCGAGCGGAGCGGCGAACGGGUGAGUAAUGCCUCGGAAUCUGCCUGGUAGUGGGGGAUAACGACCGGAAACGGGAGCUAAUACCGCAUACUAUCAGAUCAGCCUAGGUCGGAUUAGCUAGUUGGUGGGGUAACGGCUCACCAAGGCGACGAUCCGUAGCUGGUCUGAGAGGAUGAUCAGUCACACUGGGACUGAGACACGGUCCAGACUCCUACGGGAGGCAGCAGUGGGGAAUAUUGGACAAUGGGCGAAAGCCUGAUCCAGCCAUGCCGCGUGUGUGAAGAAGGUCUUCGGAUUGUAAAGCACUUUUGGUUGGGAGGCGGUACCUACAGAAUAAGCACCGGCUAACUACGUGCCAGCAGCCGCGGUAAUUC